UCCGGGGUUAACAGGCUGAUACCGCCGAAGAGUUCAUAUAGUCGGCGGUGUUUGGCACAUCGAUGUCCGCUCAGCAAACCCUGCGGCUGGAAUAGGUACCAAGGUUAUGGCUGUUCCCCAUUUACAGUGGUACGCGUGUUUGAUUUAGAACUCCGUGUGCAAUAUCGGUCCCUAGCUGCAUUGGGCUCUCGGGGGUUGAUGGGGGCUGCCUCAAGUACUAGCGGACCGGAGUGGACGCAUCAGUGGUGUUCGUCUUGUGCGUGAUGUGACCAGUGCAGGGUGCUAUGUUAGGAAGAG
rnacentral:rRNA from 1 species